rnacentral:rRNA from 1 species
CCUUGUACACACCGCCCGUCAAGUCAUGGGAGUUGGGAGUACCCGAAGUCCGCUUUAGCUAACGCAAGAGGCGGCGGCCGACGGUAAGCUCGAUGACUGGGACU